rnacentral:rRNA from 1 species
UACGAAGGGGGCUAGCGUUGCUCGGAAUCACUGGGCGUAAAGGGUGCGUAGGCGGGUCUUUAAGUCAGGGGUGAAAUCCUGGAGCUCAACUCCAGAACUGCCUUUGAUACUGAGGAUCUUGAGUUCGGGAGAGGUGAGUGGAACUGCGAGUGUAGAGGUGAAAUUCGUAGAUAUUCGCAAGAACACCAGUGGCGAAGGCGGCUCACUGGCCCGAUACUGACGCUGGAGGCACGAAAGCGUGGGGGAGCAAACAGGG